GGUUGCAGCGGCAGUUGAAGGAACCGAUCGUGUUGCGGCAAGUUCCAUUCCCACAGGCGUCUCGCUCACACUCAUUUAUGUCUAGUAGGAACAAAGGCCGUAGAGAAACGUGGUCGUUAACAGAAGAGAUAAGUUAUCGGUGAUCCUAAACCAGAAAGCUACUGCUGACCCCAAAGUGAUCCAAUAUGUGUGUGUCUGUGGUUGAAGACUGCAUCCACGAUCUACAAAUUUGCCUCUGAGGAUACGGCACAAACCAUGGACCCUUCUCAAAAUAUGCUCAUAUUCAAACACUCAAAAGCUGCACUCUAUUCCAAUAAGGCAAACCCAUAGACAAUAAAAUAAUAGGCUAUUAACAUUAAUAAAAAGUAUUUUUUGUCUUAAUAUCUUUCUGUUUUUCCUUUAGUCAAAAGUUUUUCUGACCUGGCAGCCAAAUGAAUAUCAAGGAAGAGGUUUAUUGUGUUCAGAUUGCCAAAGAUUAAAUACCAAAGGAUGUUAAUGCUACACACCUACUUGUGUUUUCAUUUUAUAAAUGGAAAAAUUAAUACUGAAGGUUUAGUAUCAAUUUUUAUAUAUAUUCAGAUGCAAAUGAAUUUUUCGAUAGGAUAGAAGUUAAAAAUACAAUGAUAAUCACGUACUCACCCAAACA